GGGCCCGCACAAGCGGUGGAGUAUGUGGUUUAAUUCGAUGCAACGCGAAGAACCUUACCAGGGCUUGACAUCCUGCGAACCUCUGGGAAACCGGAGGGUGCCUUCGGGAACGCAGUGACAGGUGGUGCAUGGCUGUCGUCAGCUCGUGUCGUGAGAUGUUGGGUUAAGUCCCGCAACGAGCGCAACCCACGUCUUUAGUUGCCAGCAUUUAGUUGGGCACUCUAGAGAGACCGCCGGUGACAAACCGGAGGAAGGUGUGGAUGACGUCAAGUCAUCAUGCCCCUUACGUCCUGGGCUACACACGUGCUACAAUGGUAUCUACAACAGGAAGCAAAACAGCGAUGUUAAGCAAA
rnacentral:rRNA from 1 species